rnacentral:rRNA from 1 species
GCUACUGCUAUCGGGGUUCGAUUAAGCCAUGCGAGUUAAAUGUUCUUCGUGAACAUAGCGAACUGCUCAGUAACACGUGGAUAACCUACCCUUAGGACCGGAAUAACCCCGGGAAACUGGGGAUAAUACCGGAUAAGCCAUAGGCGCUGGAAUGCCCUAUGGUUCAAAGCUCCGGCGCCUAAGGAUGGAUCUGCGGUCUAUCAGGUUGUAGUGGGUGUAACGUACCUACUAGCCGACGACGGAUACGGGUUGUGAGAGCAAGAGCCCGGAGAUGGAUUCUGAGACACGAAUCCAGGCCCUACGGGGUGCAGCAGGCGCGAACACUUUACAAUGCGGGAAACCGCGAUAAGGGAACCCCGAGUGCCAGCAUCAAAUGUUGGCUGUCCAGAUGAUUAAAAACCAUUUGUUAGCAAGGGCCGGGCAAGACCGGUGCCAGCCGCCGCGGUAACACCGGCGGCCCGAGUGGUAGCCGUUUUUAUUGGGUCUAAAGGGUCCGUAGCCGGCCUGAUAAGUCCUUUGGGAAAUCUGGCAGCUUAACUGUCAGGCUUCUAAGGGAUACUGUCAGGCUUGGGACCGGAAGAGGUAAGGGGUACUCCAGGGGUAGGAGUGAAAUCUUGUAAUCCCUGGGGGACCAUCUGUGGCGAAGGCGCCUUACCAGAACGGGUCCGACGGUGAGGGACGAAAGCUACGGGAGCAAACCGGAUUAGAUACCCGGGGUAGUCCUAGCUGUAAACCGAUGCUCGCUAGGUGUCAGACACGGUGCGACCGUGUUUGGUGCCGCAGGG